rnacentral:lncRNA from 1 species
CGAACGCUAUGUGUGUUAUUUUUGAACGGAUAGUGUGUACUCCUUGAACACCUAGUGUUUGAAUCUGGAACGCGUAACAGUGUUCUAGAUAUUAACUUUCGUGUUCCAGUUUUUAACAUCAUGUGUGCAUCUUUCGAACGCUAUGUGUUAUUCUUGAACGGAUAGCGUGUACUUCUUGAACGCCUAGUGUUUGAAUCUGGAACAUGUCCUUGUGAGCAAAAUUGUAUGCCGUUACGCGUUCUAAGUCUUGUAACACUUCUGGAACGCUCGGACUGUGUUCCAGAAAUAUGUGUUAAUAUCCAGAACACAUAGUGUAUAUUACUGGAACACAAUUUUAC